rnacentral:lncRNA from 1 species
ACAAAUCCCAAAGCACUAUUUCUCAUGUCUCUUUAUCUCCUCCACUACUUCCACCGCACUUUCAUCUACCCGCUUCGCAUUUACCAAAGCACCUCUCACCAGAAUACCAAAACCACCAUUGGUUUCCCGUUGAUUUUGACCUUCAACGGAUUUUUGACUCAAGCAUUGAAUACUUGCAUACAGGCUAGGUGGGUUUCUCAUUAUAAAAGUGAUUAUGAUAGUGAUGGAGGUUUGUUUUGGUGGAAAUUCUUUGGUGGAUUGGUGGUUUUUCUGUGGGGCAUGAGGAUUAAUAUGUGGGCUGAUACGGCUUUGUUGGUUUUGAAAAGGGAAAGUGGUGGAUAUAAGGUGCCGAGAGGAGGGUGGUUUGAGCUGGUAACUUGUCCUAACUACUUUGGAGAGAUUGUGGAGUGGCUUGGAUGGGCAGUGAUGACUUGGUCAUGGGCUGGGUUUGGUUUUUUCCUCUAUACAUGUUCUAACUUGGUGCCUAGGGCAUGUGCCAAUCACAAAUGGUAUUUGCAGAAGUUUGCAGAGGAUUAUCCCAAGAAUAGAAAAGCUGUGAUCCCUUUCCUCGUUUAAUUAUUGAUAGAAUUGCGUAGAAGGAAGAAUUUGAAGAAGAAGAAGAAGAUAUUAUUAGCUGUUAUGUUAAUUUAUAUAUAUAUAUAUGUAUGUGUGUGUGUGUGUAUUAUGAAAUUCAGUGAUAUAAUGUUUCAUGUAUUCCAAUACCUGAGGAGCUUUUAGUUAAUUUAACUCUUGCAAAAUAUCAACGGGGAUCCGUUGCCCACCUUAACAGAUCCGAACACAACGUUAACUGCCAUAAAGACCACCUAGAAAAACAGAGCGAAAGUCUCCAAAUAAUCUCCAUUAAUACACAAAUAUUAGAGAAACACAAAAUUUUGCAUCAAAUCAUCAACAAUGGCAUCCUCCUUUGAUUCAUUCAACCCUGAAGGAUAUCAAAAUGACCCCAC